UACGUAGGGUGCGAGCGUUAAUCGGAAUUACUGGGCGUAAAGCGUGCGUAGACGGUUAUUUAAGUCGGGUGUGAAAGCCCCGGGCUCAACCUGGGAGUUGCAUUCGAGACUGAAUAGCUAGGGUACGGUAGAGGGAAGUGGAAUUUCCGGUGUAGCGGUGAAAAUGCGUAGAUAUCGGAAGGAACAUCGAGUGGCGAAAGCGACUUCCUGGACCAGUACCGACGUUCAGGCACGAAAGCGUGGGGAGCAAACAG
rnacentral:rRNA from 1 species